AGCGAACGCUGGCGGCAGGCUUAACACAUGCAAGUCGAGCGCCCCGCAAGGGGAGCGGCAGACGGGUGAGUAACACGUGGGAACGUACCUUUUGGUUCGGAACAACACAGGGAAACUUGUGCUAAUACCGGAUAAGCCCUUACGGGGAAAGAUUUAUCGCCGAAAGAUCGGCCCGCGUCUGAUUAGCUAGUUGGUGAGGUAAUGGCUCACCAAGGCUACGAUCAGUAGCUAGUCUGAGAGGAUGAUCAGCCACACUGGGACUGAGACACGGCCCAGACUCCUACGGGAGGCAGCAGUGGGGAAGCUUGGACAAUGGGGGCAACCCUGAUCCAGCCAUGCCGCGUGAGUGAUGAAGGCCCUAGGGUUGUAAAGCUCUUUUAACGGGGAAGAUAAUGACGGUACCCGUAGAAUAAGCCCCGGCUAACUUCGUGCCAGCCGCCGCAGUAACAC
rnacentral:rRNA from 1 species